GGUAGGGUAAUGGCCUACCAAGGCGAUGAUGGGUAGCUGGUCUGAGAGGAUGACCAGCCACAUUGGGACUGAGAUACGGCCCAGACUCCUACGGGAGGCAGCAGUGGGGAAUAUUGGCCAAUGGACGAAAGUCUGAGCCAGCGACACCGCGUGGGGGAUGAAGGCUUUCGGGUCGUAAGCCCCUUUUUCUGGGGGGAGAAUAAGGGCGGGAGGAAAUGCCCGUCCGAUGACGGUACUCCAGGAAUAAGCAUCGGCUAACUCCGUGCCAGCAGCCGCGGUAAGACGGAGGAUGCAAGCGUUAUCCGGAAUUACUGGGCGUAAAGGGCGUCUAGGCGGUCUCGUAAGUCACUUGUGAAAUCCCUCGGCUCAACCGGGGAAGGUCGUGUGAUACUGCUUGACUUGGGUGUAGGAGAGGAGAGUGGAACUCACAGAGUAGCGGUGGAAUGCGUAGAUACUGUGAGGUACCCCGAUGGCGAAGGCAACUCUCUGGCCUACUACCGACGCUGAAGCGCGAAAGCGUGGGGAGCAAAGGGGAUUAGAUACCCCCGUAGUCCACGCCCCAAACGAUGUUCACUUGGUGUCGGCCGCUUAUACAGGUCGGUGCCGAAGCUAACGCGUUAAGUGAACCGCCUGAGGAGUACGGCCGCAAGGCUAAAACUCAAGAGAAUUGACGGGUCCCCGCACAAGCGGUGGAGCACGUGGUUUAAUUCGAUGGUAAGCGAAGAACCUCACCUGGGCUUGACAUACUAGUGGUAGGAACUGGAAACAGGGACGACCCUGCUUCGGUAGGGAGCUAGUACAGGUGAUGCAUGGCUGUCGUCAGCUCGUGUCGUGGGAUGUAGGGUUAAGUCCCGAAACGAGCGCAACCCUUGUCGCUAGUUGCCAGCGGGUAAUGCCGGGGACUCUAGCGAGACUGCUGGUGAAUAGCCGGAGGAAGGCGGGGAUGACGUCAAGUCAUCAUGUCCCUUAUGCCCAGGGCGACACACAUGCUACAAUGGGAGGUACAAAGGGUCGCGAAGUCGUAAGGCGGAGCCAAUCUCAAAAAACCUCCCUCAGUUCGGAUUGAGGUCUGCAACUCGACCUCAUGAAGCCGGAAUCGCUAGUAAUCGUAGGUCAGCCACACUACGGUGAAUAUGUACUCGGGGAUUGUACACACCGCCCGUCACACCAACCGAGUGGGGGGUACCUGAAGUCGCCUUUCUGAGGGCGCCGAGGGUAACCUUCGCAAGAGGGGUGAAGUCGUAACAAGGUA
rnacentral:rRNA from 1 species